rnacentral:rRNA from 1 species
UACGAAGGGGGCUAGCGUUGCUCGGAAUCACUGGGCGUAAAGCGCACGUAGGCGGACUCUUAAGUCGGUGGUGAAAUCCUGGAGCUCAACUCCAGAACUGCCUUCGAUACUGGGAGUCUCGAGUCCGAGAGAGGUGAGUGGAACUGCGAGUGUAGAGGUGAAAUUCGUAGAUAUUCGCAAGAACACCAGUGGCGAAGGCGGCUCACUGGCUCGGUACUGACGCUGAGGUGGCGAAAGCGUGGGGAGCAAACAGG